rnacentral:rRNA from 1 species
AUACGGAGGGUGCAAGCGUUAUUCGGAAUCACUGGGCGUAAAGGACGCGUAGGCGGGAAGCCAAGUCUGAUGUGAAAUCCUAUGGCUCAACCAUAGAACUGCAUUGGAAACUGGUUACCUAGAGUAUGGGAGGGGGAGAUGGAAUUAGUGGUGUAGGGGUAAAAUCCGUAGAUAUCACUAGGAAUACCGAAAGCGAAGGCGAUCUCCUGGAACAAUACUGACGCUAAGGCGUGAAAGCGUGGGGAGCAAACGGGAGUAGAAACCCUAGUAGUCC